rnacentral:rRNA from 1 species
CGCGCAGGCGGCCAGGAAAGUCAGAUGUGAAAGCCCGGGGCUUAACCCCGGAAGUGCAUUUGAUACUGCUUGGCUUGAGUAUGGGAGAGGGAAGUGGAAUUCCUGGUGUAGAGGUGAAAUUCGUAGAUAUCAGGAGGAACACCGGUGGCGAAGGCGACUUCCUGGACCAAUACUGACGCUGAGGCGCGAAGGCGUGGGUAGCAAACA